rnacentral:SRP_RNA from 1 species
GAUUGCAAAUGGCGGUGGGGGCCAUGCUGGCCCUGAGCUUCACGGUGAUGAGGAGCGCAUUCUGCACGGAUCCGUGGCCGGAUCUGGAGGA